AGUGGUGUAUGCAGUAUGCACUCCGAACAGGGAAGAGAAGUCAUGGAGUAUUUGACAGCUUGAUAUAGUUGCAUCAGACAGUUUGAAGUAACCUUUGAUGGGGUCUUAUAGAGACAGCUGGCACAGGUUGGAAUUAUGACAUAAUACAGAUUAUGGAUCAUUAAUUGGAAAUAAAUCAGAAAAAGUACUUCAGUUCUUGCUUAGAAGAUCAGUGCCA